ensembl:lncRNA
UGAAUCCUUUCAUUCUCAGACUCCUCCCAAGGGGUAAGUGCUGGAAGAUGACAAGAGAGAAGCGGAGCCCCUAGAGAUCGCCCUGGAACCAAACCACCCUAAAUGGAGCCGGGAGGUCUGUCAAUUCCCAGAGAGCAACGAGGAAAUGUGGGGAACUAAAUCUGUCCGUGUUGUUUGGUGACUAAUAGAGAAGAGGGGAACCCAGAGCUGUAGGAGUCACCUAAAGUGGCAGAGGCUGAACUUUGGCAGCAGAAAGAAAAGAAUCCUUACAGAUAAAAUGAUGGUCUCCUUUUGUCAUUUAAGGAAUAGGAUUGAUCUCUGUAGUAGAACUGUGUUGUUGGAGAAGACUCUUGAGAGUUCCUUGGACUGCAAAGAGAUCAAUCCAAUCAAUCCUAAAGGAAAUCAGUCCUGAAUAUUUAUUGGAAGGACUGAUACUGAAGCUGAAGCUCCAAUACUUUGGCCACCUGAUGGAAAGAACUGACUCAAUGGAAAAGACCCUGAUGGCUGGGAAAGAUUGAAUGCAGGAGGAGAAGGGGGCGACAGAGAAUGAGAUGGUUGCGUGGCAUCACUGAAUCAAUGGACAUGAG